rnacentral:rRNA from 1 species
GUUGAACGCUGGCGGCAGGCCUAACACAUGCAAGUCGAGCGAGCGGCGGACGGGUGAGUAAUGUCUGGGAAACCGCCUGAUGGAGGGGGAUAACAACUGGAAACGGUAGCUAAUACCGCAUACCAUCAGCUGUGCCCAGAGUGGAUUAGCUAGUAGGUGGGGUAACGGCUCACCUAGGCGACGAUCCCUAGCUGGUCUGAGAGGAUGACCAGCCACACUGGAACUGAGUCACGGUACCGACUCCUACGGGAGGCAGGAGUGGGGAAUCUUGCAGCAUGGGCGCAGGUGUGGUUCAGCCAUGCCGAGUGUAUGAAGAAGGCCUGCGGGUUGGAAAGGGCAUUCGGCGGGGAGGCGUUACCCGCAGAAGAAGCACCGGCUAACUCCGUGCCAGCAGCCGCGGUAAUAC